rnacentral:rRNA from 1 species
GUGCCAGCAGCCGCGGUAAUACGUAGGUGGCGAGCGUUGUCCGGAAUUACUGGGCGUAAAGGGUGCGUAGGCGGAUACUUAAGUCAGAUGUGAAAUUCCGGGGCUUAACUUCGGAACUGCAUUUGAAACUGGGUGUCUAGAGUGCAGGAGAGGAAAGCGGAAUUCCUAGUGUAGCGGUGAAAUGCGUAGAUAUUAGGAAGAACACCAGUGGCGAAGGCGGCUUUCUGGACUGUAACUGACGCUGAGGCACGAAAGCGUGGGGAGCAAACAGGAUUAGAUACCCUGGUAGUCCACGCUGUAAACGAUGAGUGCUAGGUGUAGGGGGUUUCGAUGCCCUCUGUGCCGCAGUAAACGCAAUAAGCACUCCGCCUGGGGAGUACGGUCGCAAGACUAAA